rnacentral:sRNA from 1 species
AUAAAAUAAAAGGGCCAGAACCGAACAUUUUCACAUAAUUUUUGGGCCCUUUGUGAUCCAUUUUUAGGACCACCAUUAGCUCUUAUCCCAGGGCUAAUAAAUUGACUUUUAUGACUGGUCAUGAGAAGCUCGUAAAAUUUGCAUAUGACUGUGAAUUGUGAAUGGGGUUUGUGCCUUUAAGUCGAAGGAGGAGUCCUUCAUCGGAUGACGGUUUUUCGCGUGACAUUUGCAUUUCAGUUCAGUUCAGUGAAGUUGAGUCGACUGUUUGGACCCGAGGGUCCGAUGACAUUUCAUUAGUCGUUGGCAGCCGUUCUUGGGUCACAUAAUAACGUGUGCCAUUGUUUUUCAUUGUCGUUUUAUGUGCUGUUUAUAUUUUUAUGGCAUGCCAUAUAGUAUUUAAUAUUUAUAUUAUAUAUGAAGCACAUGCGACAGACCCUUUCCAUUCGUAUCAUGUCUGCGAUAAAACAGUUUUAUUCGUUAGGAACUUUUAGGGACAGCUCAACUUUUGCACCAGGUGGAUACUACUACCAGGGGUCCCUCUCCAUAUAUCCCAUUCUCUUGGAAAUAAACCAUCUCCUUCAACUGAAAUCAAACUACUUGAGAAGCCAGUCGGCUUGCCGGAGACUCUUUGGUUCGUGUUUGCAGUUAUUAUUGUCUAUAAAUCGUCGGGAGGAUCCUGGCUGGAGGAGCAGGAGCGUAAGCCGAGCCAGCACCAACAAUAUACACGUUGACAUUAUGAAUUUAUUACUAUUUAAAUAUUUUAUUUCUGUUAUGGCCAUGGCAGGCGACGAUGGGCCGCAAUAAUCGUUCUGACAUUUUGUUUUCCUUGGCGUGCGUAACUAUUUACGAGUUUUCCCUGGCCAUGAAUUAUCGAUGCUGUCAGCAAUAAAUAUUGAUAAAAUAUAUGAUUCAAAGUUGUGUGCCACUACGUUGUGUGUUGGUGACCUGACUCGAUUACCAUAAUUUAAACAAUUUGGACCGUUUAGUGAAUCUAUUCUUCUUGAAAAUUGUAUCCAAAUCCAUAUAGCCAGCAAAUCAUUGGAUGUCACUUUUAUGGCUAAUGAACAAACUAAUCAGCGCAACCAGUUCAGUAUUGAUCUUAAUCUCAUGGACUUGGGGUUUUGAGACUCGUUUGCAUUUUAGACUUUGAUACCGGCACUUGACUUCAAACUUGGCCAAAACAAACCCAAACAAUAGAGGCUGGUACGAGAGAAACCGGUUUCUUCAAGCCAACUUAUUACCUGGUGAUAAUUAAUUAAAAGCUCAUAGUACCUGAGGCCUACAAACCUAAACCCAAU